rnacentral:misc_RNA from 1 species
GAUGAAGAACGUAGCGAAAUGCGAUAAGUAAUGUGAAUUGCAGAAUUCAGUGAAUCAUCGAAUCUUUGAACGCACAUUGCGCCCGCCAGUAUUCUGGCGGGCAUGCCUGUUCGAGCAUCAUUUCAACCAUCAAGCCCCCCGGCUUGUGUUGGGGACCUGCGGCUGCCGCAGGCCCUGAAAAGCAGUGGCGGGCUCGCUGUCACACCGAGCGUAGUAGCAUACAUCUCGCUCUGGGCGUGCUGCGGGUUCCGGCCGUUAAACCACCUUCAUAACCCAAGGUUGACCUCGGAUCAGGUAGGAAGACCCGCUGAACUUAAGCAUAUCAAUAAGCGGAGGA